rnacentral:rRNA from 1 species
GACAGAGGAUGCAAGCGUUAUCCGGAAUGAUUGGGCGUAAAGCGUCUGUAGGUGGCUUUUUAAGUCCGCCGUCAAAUCCCAGGGCUCAACCCUGGACAGGCGGUGGAAACUACCAAGCUGGAGUACGGUAGGGGCAGAGGGAAUUUCCAGUGGAGCGGUGAAAUGCGUAGAUAUUGGAAAGACCACCAAUGGCGAAGGCACUCUACUGGGCCAUUACUGACACUGAGAGACGAAAGCUAGGGGGAGCAAAUGGG